CUCCCCCGCUGCCGGCCUCUGGGCGCCUCCGUCUGUCUGCCGCCCCCUGCCCCCUGCCGGCGGUGAGCACUGGGAGCUGCUGUCAGUGUGCUCCUGCUGUGCUCUGUCUGCGGGCUGGGGGGGGCUGGGGGGAGACAGGCAGCGGCACUGCAAGACCUCUGUGGGACACGCCCCCCUUCCUGCGGACUCCCAGCUCGGGUGGGGGGCAAUGGAGGCAGACUGAGGGGGAUGAGAGGGUCCUGGUACUAAACUUGGUUCCCUGUAAGGAUGUGUUAGCUCAGCUCUCCGGGCUGGCAGGCAGGCAGGCUGUGAGGAUGUCUGAG